rnacentral:rRNA from 1 species
UACGUAGGGGGCAAGCGUUGUCCGGAAUCAUUGGGCGUAAAGCGCGUGUAGGCGGCUCGGUAAGUCUGCUGUGAAAGUCCAGGGCUCAACCCUGGAAUGCCGGUGGAAACUGUCGGGCUAGAGUCCGGAAGAGGCGAGUGGAAUUCCUGGUGUAGCGGUGAAAUGCACAGAUAUCAGGAGGAACACCGAUGGCGAAGGCAGCUCGCUGGGACGGUACUGACGCUGAGGCGCGAAAGCGUGGGGAGCAAACAGG